rnacentral:rRNA from 1 species
AUUGAACGCUGGCGGCAGGCCUAACACAUGCAAGUCGAGCGGUAGAGAGGUGCUUGCAUCUCUUGAGAGCGGCGGACGGGUGAGUAAUGCCUAGGAAUCUGCCUGGUGGUGGGGGAUAACGUUCGGAAACGGACGCUAAUACCGCAUACGUCCUACGGGAGAAAGCGGGGGGAUCUUCGGACCUCGCGCCAUUAGAUGAGCCUAGGUCGGAUUAGCUAGUUGGUGAGGUAAUGGCUCACCAAGGCGACGAUCCGUAACUGGUCUGAGAGGAUGAUCAGUCACACUGGAACUGAGACACGGUCCAGACUCCUACGGGAGGCAGCAGUGGGGAAUAUUGGACAAUGGGCGAAAGCCUGAUCCAGCCAUGCCGCGUGUGUGAAGAAGGUACUUCGGAUUGUAAAGCACUUUAAGUUGGG